rnacentral:rRNA from 1 species
GAUGAACGCUGGCGGCGUGCUUAACACAUGCAAGUCGAACGAAGCACUUUACUACGAUUUCUUCGGAAUGACGGUUUUGUGACUGAGUGGCGGACGGGUGAGUAACGCGUGGAUAACCUGCCUCAUACAGGGGGAUAACAGCCGGAAACGGCUGCUAAUACCGCAUAAGCGCACAGGGUCGCAUGACCUGGUGUGAAAAAACUCCGGUGGUAUGAGAUGGACCCGCGUUGGAUUAGCUAGGUUGGUGAGGUAACGGCCACCAAGCGACGAUCCAUAGCCGACCUGAGAGGGUGACCGGCCAC